AUUGAACGCUGGCGGCAGGCUUAACACAUGCAAGUCGAGCGGGGUGAUGGUGCUUGCACUAUCACUUAGCGGCGGACGGGUGAGUAAUGCUUAGGAAUCUGCCUAUUAGUGGGGGACAACAUCUCGAAAGGGAUGCUACUACCGCAUACGUCCUACGGGAGAAAGCAGGGGAUCACUUGUGACCUUGCGCUAAUAGAUGAGCCUAAGUCGGAUUAGCUAGUGGGUGGGGUAAAGGCCUACCAAGGCGACGAUCUGUAGCGGGUCUGAGAGGAUGAGCAGCCACACUGGGAAUGAGGCAGGGCCCCGACUACUACGGGAGGCAGCAGGGGGGUAUAGUGGACAAUGGGGGGAACCCUGAUCCAGCCAUGCCGCGUGUGUGAAGAAAGCCUUAUGGUUGUAAAGCACUUUAAGCGAGGAGGAGGCUCUUUUGGUUAAUACCCAAGAUGAGUGGACGUUACUCGCAGAAUAAGCACCGGCUAACUCUGUGCCAGCCGCCGCCGUAA
rnacentral:rRNA from 1 species